rnacentral:rRNA from 1 species
UACGUAUGGUGCAAGCGUUAUCCGGAUUUACUGGGUGUAAAGGGAGCGCAGGCGGCGCGGCAAGUCUGAUGUGAAAGCCCGGGGCUCAACCCCGGUACUGCAUUGGAAACUGUCGUACUAGAGUGUCGGAGGGGUAAGCGGAAUUCCUAGUGUAGCGGUGAAAUGCGUAGAUAUUAGGAGGAACACCAGUGGCGAAGGCGGCUUACUGGACGAUAACUGACGCUGAGGCUCGAAAGCGUGGGGAGCAAACAGG